GCCAGGUGUGGUGACGUGCGCCUGUAAUCCCAGCUACUGGGGAGGCUGGUGCAGGGGGAUUGCUUGAACCAGGGAGGUAGAGGUUGCAGUGAGCUGAAAUCGUGCCACUGCACUCCAGCCUGGUGACAGAGUGAGACUCCAUCUCAAAAAAAUCAAAAUUAAAAAAAGAGAUGGAGACUGGCUUUGUCACCCAGGCUGGAGUGCAGUGGGUUAAUCUUGGCUCACUGCAACCUCUGGCUCCUGGAUUCAAGUGAUUCUUUUGCCU
rnacentral:sRNA from 1 species